rnacentral:rRNA from 1 species
AGCAGUCGCCGCGGGAAUACGGAGGGUGCAAGCGUUAAUCGGAAUUACUGGGCGUAAAGCGUGCGUAGGCGGUUCGUUAAGUCUGUUGUGAAAGCCCCGGGCUCAACCUGGGAAUGGCAAUGGAUACUGGCGAGCUAGAGUGUGUCAGAGGAUGGUGGAAUUCCCGGUGUAGCGGUGAAAUGCGUAGAGAUCGGGAGGAACAUCAGUGGCGAAGGCGGCCAUCUGGGACAACACUGACGCUGAGGCACGAAAGCGUGGGGAGCAAACAGGAUUAGAUACCCCCGUAGUCCCUGUCUCUUAUAC